GGAGGAAAAGAAACUAACAAGGAUUUCUUUAGUAGUGGCGAAUGAACAAGAAAAAACUCAUUAUGUAAUCUAUAUUUAUAUAGAGAUGUUAAAAUAUUAUUGUUGUUAUUAAAAUCAUAGAUACAAUAAUUUUGUAGUAAAUGAUGACAAUAAAUAAUUAAUGUAGGAGUACGAUUGCUUGGUAGUGCAAUUGGAAUAUAGAUAGAAUAAAAUAUCUAAAGUUAAAUAUAAAUGACAUACCGAUAGAGAAUAAGUACUGCGAAGGAACUUGUGAAAAUGAUAGUAUUAUAGCUUAUAGUAAUUAUAAGACCCGUCUUGAAACACGGACCAAGGAGAUUACCAAAUGACAGUAUAUAAUCAUAGGUGAUUUUAUGUCAUUUGGUAAGACCCGAAACAUAGUGAACUAUAUAUGUCAAUGGUUGAAGAUAAACGACCGUUUAUUGGAAGACCUAAGUCAUUCUGACGUGCAAAUCGAUGGUGAAAGAUGUAUAUAGUGGCGAAAGACCAAUCGAACUAUGUGGUAGCUGGUUCACAGCGAAAUGUCUCUUAGGACAGUUGAGUAUAAUUUUAUAAAAAAGUAAAUAGAUGUAGAGUCAAUACAAUAUUUUAUUAUAUUGUUUAACUUCUAAUUCUAUAAAUAAGUAUGUUUUAUUUUUUAAUACUUAUUAAUUAUUCUUGAUACUCAAGUGGGCGUAUGAUUGUAAGAAUGAUAUGCAAUAAGGGAUGAACCUUUAGAUACACUAAAAUUUCUAAUAGUA
rnacentral:rRNA from 1 species